UGUAGGAUUGCCGCCGCCGUGAUGUUCCGGCUAUUGGUGCUGCUUCCCGCGACUGCUUCUUGGGGCGCUGCUUCCCCGUCCAUACGAUCUACGCCACUGCUGUUCAGAUCAUCCGUCUCUCCCUUCCGUCUGCUCGAUCUGCUGCUCUGCCCUGAUCUGGAGGAGAUUGAUCGGUGCACCCACCGCAUAGAGCCGAAGGAAGUGUGUCAAUCUAGCAAUACAUGGAGCCGGCCAGCAACCAGCGACGCAGCCACCAUUUUCUUACCUGCUCUAAGCACACAGUCAAUUUUGUUUCAGAUGGAAUGCAUUCAGCAUACAUGGUGGAAGAGAGCUGCCCCCGGGCCCUCACUACUGAACAAGCACGCCCACAACAAGCACAUGGAGAUCUUCAUCACAGGGCUUGACAAUUGUCAAAUCCCUGCUGGAAAAGUACUACAUUGAUCUCAAGCUAAUUGGUCGCCUUGAGGUUGGUAGCAAGACAGUGAUAGACAAAAGUAAAUCCAUCAAAACGUGGUUGAUGCAAUUUUUAGAGGAAAGUGGUAAUACCGACAUCGAGGGAGUUUGACUCCAGUAAUGCAUGUUAUGGUGGAACAACUUCCCUCUUGAAUUGGUGUGACUUCGGUCCAAAGUCCAUGCUGGGAUGAACGUUACGGCCUUGUAGUCUGCACAGAUAGCACGGUUUAUGCAGAGGGACCAGCUCGACCUGGUGGAGCUGCUGCAGUUGCUAUGCUUAUUGGUCCAAAUGCACCUUUUUCUUUCGAAAGCAAAUAUAGAGCUUUUCACAUGACUCAUGUUUACGAUCUCUAGAAGUC